rnacentral:rRNA from 1 species
UGGAUCCAGACCCUUUUCAUGGCUCAGGAUGAACGCUAGCUACAGGCCUAACACAUGCAAGUCGAGGGGCAUCAUGGGGGUCGCUUGCGACCCCUGAUGGCGACCGGCGAAUGGGUGAGUAACGCGUAUCCAACCUGCCCCGCGCCCGGGGAUAGCCCUUGGAAAUGAGGAUUAAGACCCGAUAUGUGGCGCCGCCGCAUGGCGGCUCCAUGAAACAGACGCGGGAUGGGGAUGCGUUGGAUUAGCCAGCCGGCAGGGCAGCGGCCUACCGGGGCGACGAUCCAUAGGGGUUCUGAGAGGAAGGUCCCCCACACUGGCACUGAGACACGGGCCAGACUCCUACGGGAGGCAGCAGUGAGGAAUAUUGGUCGAUGGGCGAGAGCCUGAACCAGCCAAGUGGCGUGCAGGAUGACGGCCCUACGGGUUGUAAACUGCUUUUGCGGGAGAAUAACCGGCGCCACGCGUGGCGCCCUGCAGGUAUCCCGUGAAUAAGGACCGGCUAAUUCCGUGCCAGCAGCCGCGGUAAUACGGAAGGUCCGGGCGUUAUCCGGAUUUAUUGGGUUUAAAGGGAGCGCAGGCGGAGGAUCAAGCCAGCCGUGAAAUGGCGGCGCUCAACGCCGUCCGGCGGUUGGAACUGGUCCCCUUGAUUGCGGGGGAGGAAGGCGGAACUCGUGGUGUAGCGGUGAAAUGCAUAGAUAUCACGAAGAACCCCGAUUGCGAAGGCAGCCUUCCGGCCCGUGAAUGACGCUCAUGCUCGAGGGCGCGUGUAUCAAACAGGAUUAGAUACCCUGGUAGUCCGCGCGGUAAACGAUGAAUGCUCGGGAUUCGGGCUUUAUGUCUGAGUCCCCCAGCGAAAGCGUUAAGCAUUCCACCUGGGGAGUACGCCGGCAACGGUGCAACUCAAAUGAAUUGACGGA